CUACGGGGCGCAGCAGUGAGGAAUAUUGGACAAUGGAGGCAACUCUGAUCCAGCCAUGCCGCGUGCAGGAAGACGGCCCUAUGGGUUGUAAACUGCUUUUAUACAGGAAGAAUGGUACCUACGUGUAGGUAUUUGACGGUACUGUACGAAUAAGGAUCGGCUAACUCCGUGCCAGCAGCCGCGGUAAUACGGAGGAUCCAAGCGUUAUCCGGAAUCAUUGGGUUUAAAGGGUCCGUAGGCGGUUUUUUAAGUCAGAGGUGAAAUCCUGCAGCUCAACUGUAGCAUUGCCUUUGAUACUGAAAGACUUGAGUUAUUGUGAAGUAGUUAGAAUGUGUAGUGUAGCGGUGAAAUGCAUAGAUAUUACACAGAAUACCGAUUGCGAAAGCAGAUUACUAUUAAUAUACUGACGCUCAGGGACGAAAGCGUGGGUAGCGAACAGGAUUAGAUACCCCUGUAGUC
rnacentral:rRNA from 1 species